rnacentral:lncRNA from 1 species
AGGAUCAGCAGUCUUCUCCUCGACAUUUAUUGAGGUUUCAACAGAGGACUUCAGCCUUUCCUUUAAAUCUAAGAACUCCUCAUUGAGCUUCUUCACCUUCUUGAGCAGGACAUCCGCCUUCUUAGUCAGCUCAUUGAUAGCCAUCAAAUCAGAUUCCGAAACCAUCAAACGGCUUUGCACGCUGGCCAUUGGCUCUACAAUAAUUAUGGAUAGAAAUAUAAAAGUGCAAUAGAAAUUAACAGAUGUAUAUUAUUAAUGGGAACGGUUGUUUUAGUUGGAUGAUCAAGAUUAUAAGCAUUGUUAAAAAGAAAAGGGUAUUGGCGCAAAUAAGUUCCCCAUUUGCCAUAUUAAAAUGGACAAUUAAGUCAAACUUUUUUGUUCUGUUCAUCUCAUCUUGUGAUUUUAUUAAAAAAAAAACUUAUGUUUAACCUUAAAUUUAGAAAAUGAAUUUCAUUGAACUAAAUUUCUUAAUCAUUGCAAAAAUAAUGUUUUUUCUUAUAAUAAUGACACGAGAAAGUAUAGAUUAAAGGAGUUUGUCUUAUAUGGACCCGAUGCAAGGGUGGAUCCUCAUAUUUAUAGUAAGUUUUUAAUAAAAUAUUGUUUUUAAUCUCUAUAAAGUCAUUGUUUUUUUACCAUAAUGGUAAAAGGCCACCUUUUGAACCAUUUUUUAAUAGGUCCAAAUUAAACACACCCAUACAUUAUGUACUGUUAACCUAAAUAAAUAAUUUUAUACAUGCAUGACAUUUUAUUUGCAAAUGCUAAUAUAGUAUAUAUGUGCCUUAAGGGUACAUAAUAUAGUAAUAUAUAGAUAUAUAGAUAUCUCCAAGUGAUACAUUCAAAAGUAAAAACAAAAUGUCAUAACAGUAAAAUGUAUAUUCAUAUGACUUGCAAAUGUAAAUUAUAGACUAGUAUGACUCACUAGUAUUAGAAGGCUCGGGUACAUGAUUUGCAUCUAAAACUUGAGUUGACAGAAUAACAAAAAGAAUAACACCAAGAAACAUAAAUGACCUUGAGUAAGCCAUGUUACUUCAAUUCUUUCUAUUUCUAAAUUACAAUGCAAUGUGGUUGAGAAAUAAUAAUAAUGUAAUAUUCUCUAUAUAUAGGACAAGAAGAUUACUUUUUAUGAGGCCAACAGUCAAGGAGAUAUAUUGUAAAUAUUCUCUAUAUAUAAAUUAUGGAGAAACAUGCAUGUGGCCAAAGAAAGUACCAAGGAGAUGUUAAUAUUAAUUUAUAUUGAAUUGAGAAUUAACAUUGAGGUUGCUAAAGUCCU